rnacentral:lncRNA from 1 species
CAUCAUUGCAGAGGGAGGUGGAGGAAUAAACACUAGAAAAGCAAACAGGUUAGCCAUGCUUGUUUGUUCUGUCGUUUAUAGUAAUAGACACAUGGCAGGAGAAAACUGAGACCACAAAAUGUAACAGGUCAGGAAAAUAGUUAUUACUGUUUACUCGUAGCUCUGCUGGCAAUCCUACUAUAAACAUCAUUCUUUAUUUCUUUAGUCUCUCCUUCAUGCAAGUCAUUGGCACUGCUCAGUGGUGUGGGAAUUUCUCCCAUUUUGCCUUGCCCAGAAGGAAUCUAGGUCAACAAACGUUUCAUGAGUUUGACAGUUGUGACCAAAAAAAAAAAAAAAAAUAGAACUUUAAGAAAUUAAAUGUUUUUAAAUAAUAAAACCAUAAGAAUUAGUGAUUCUGAUUCAUUGUUUCUUGUUUUGAAUGUAAAGAAAAUUUAUACUUAUGAUGCUUCAUCUGAUUUCCUUUAUGAUGGAGAAGUAUCACAGAAUAAGAGUUAACAUAAUGGACUUUGAAUUUGGGCAAACUGGGAAUCAAAAUCUUGCUUCACAACUUAGUGGCUGUGUGCCCUUGGAUUAUUUUUGGAGAAAGAACAGACCAAGGCAGUGAAGCAGCAGUGAGGACUUUUGCAUGAGAUGGUCAUCACUCAAACACAGUGCCCAGAUACUGCAAGAGAGGAGUGGAUAUGACCCAAAGAAGUGAUGUGAGUACACAAGACAGAUUUUGGGAUAGGAGAGAGGGAAGUGUCAAGGCCUCUCUGGCAUGGGUAACCAGGUGAAUGGAUGGUGCUAAUCACUGCGGCAGGGAAUUGAGAGAGUAGAGCAGAUUUGGGUGAGAAUAGCCUAAUCCCCAUGCAGGACUACCCCCAGAGAGCUGGGAACAAUCAUGCAAUUGCAUAACCUCCGAACUCUUGAUAAAAAGAUAAAACUUUGUAUUCACUUGUGUCAAAUCCACAUCAUUGCUGAAAGGAAAGUUAGACAAUAAAUAUUUGUUAAAGUACUGUUGUGUGUAUUGC